ensembl:lncRNA
GGAUGUUUCAGAAGGCUUCCACAUCUAAAACAGUGCAUACGAUUUGAAAACAGGGCUACAGCCAAGGAAUCAGGGUUUUGCUGGUUAGCAUGACCCCAUUUGGUAAAUGCUAUUACUACACCUUCAGGCUAUAAAAGGCAUGUUUCUCUACUGACUGACAUUCAAAAGUAGCAUGUUUUCUGGUGAAAUAAUAUUUUGACAGCAAUAUGUAUAUAUACAUAAAUAUUUUUUAUUUUACAGUGUCAGCAAACAAUCCAGAGAGACAACAGUAAGUGAUCAAAACAGCAAGUUUAUUGACAGGAGGAGCAGCAGGAUAAAAGGCAACAGUCCGAGGGUGAUCUAGAGGAGCAGUGGAGAACUGCAAAGAUGUCCCUGCCAACAUAAAGGCGGCCUUUUUCCGGAAAUGAUAGAGUUGUUCUACUUCCUGAAGACCUUGUAAUCCACUGGCGGCUGAAGACACAACAAUGGAAUGUUAAUAAAUAAAUAAAUAAAUACA